CCUACGGGAGGCAGCAGUGGGGGAUAUUGCACAAUGGAGGGAACUCUGAUGCAGCAACGCCGCGUGAGUGAAGAAGUAUUUCGGUAUGUAAAGCUCUAUCAGCAGGGAAGAUAAUGACAGUACCUGAAUAAGAAGCCCCGGCUAACUACGUGCCAGCAGCCGCGGUAAUACGUAGGGGGCAAGCGUUAUCCGGAUUUACUGGGUGUAAAGGGAGCGUAGACGGCGAAGCAAGUCUGAAGUGAAAAUCCGGGGCUCAACUCCGGAAGUGCUUUGGAAACUGUUUUGAUAGAGUGUCGGAGAGGUAAGUGGAAUUCCUGGUGUAGCGGUGAAAUGCGUAGAUAUCAGGAAGAACACCGGAGGCGAAGGCGGCUUACUGGACGAUAACUGACGUUGAGGCUCGAAAGCGUGGGAAGCAAACAGGAUUAGAUACCCGUGUAGUC
rnacentral:rRNA from 1 species